rnacentral:rRNA from 1 species
GUGAGGAAUAUUGGUCAAUGGGCGUAAGCCUGAACCAGCCAAGUCGCGUGAGGGAUGACGGCCCUACGGGUUGUAAACCUCUUUUACAAGGGAAUAAAGGGCGCCAUGCGUGGUGUUUUGCAUGUACCUUGUGAAUAAGCAUCGGCUAACUCCGUGCCAGCAGCCGCGGUAAUACGGAGGAUGCGAGCGUUAUCCGGAUUCAUUGGGUUUAAAGGGUGCGUAGGUGGCUUUUUAAGUCAGCGGUGAAAGUCAGUGGCUCAACCAUUGAACUGCCGUUGAAACUGGGGAGCUUGAGUACGUACGGGGCAGGCGGAAUGCGUGGUGUAGCGGUGAAAUGCAUAGAUAUCACGCAGAACCCCGAUCGCGAAGGCAGCCUGCCAGGCCGUGACUGACACUGAUGCACGAAAGCGUGGGUAUCGAACAGGAUUAGAAACCCUAGUAGUCC